AAUCCAUGUUGUGGACACUUCCGCAAGAGAUCUUUGAAUCGCUCCCACUUUUCAAACAAAGAUUCAAGCUCCAUCUGAACAAAUGAAGAUAUCUCAUUACAAAGCUU